CAGCAGCCGCGGGAAUACGGAGGGUGCAAGCGUUAAUCGGAAUUACUGGGCGUAAAGCGCACGCAGGCGGUUUGUUAAGUCAGAUGUGAAAUCCUCGGGCUUAACCUGGGAACUGCAUUUGAAACUGUCAGGCUGGAGUCUUGUAGAGGGGGGUAGAAUUCCAGGUGUAGCGGUGAAAUGCGUAGAGAUCUGGAGGAAUACCGGUGGCGAAGGCGGCCCCCUGGACAAAGACUGACGCUCAGGUGCGAAAGCGUGGGGAGCAAACAGGAUUAGAUACCCCUGUAGUCCCUGUCUCUUAUAC
rnacentral:rRNA from 1 species